rnacentral:tRNA from 1 species
GCCCGGGUGGUGAAAUGGUAGACACGGAAGACUCAAAAUCUUCUGCUGAGAGGCGUGUCGGUUCGAGUCCGACCCCGGGUACCA